UACACAAUGUCCCAGGAUUC
rnacentral:piRNA from 1 species